AUGCAUCAAGCGUGUGGGCUCCGACAGUGAGAUGUUUUGACAGGCAUCAGAAUGUGUAAUGCAGGUGUGUCCUCAAAGCUUCUUCUCGCCGGUUUGUUUUGUGGCUCGUCCUGCAGACGGUGUAGAGGGGAAGUCGGAUGAAAAGGAGAAGAAGAAAGAAGGCUCCUCCGUGAGGUCAUCGUCCACCUCCAAGGACUCCGGCAACAGCGAGAAAAGAAAAAUUUGGAAAAGAAAUUCUCCAAUCUGCCCAACUCCCUUCAAAAAAGUCAGGGAGCGCAUCCUCUCUGACAGUUUCUCAGAAGAGGAUGGUGAUGACGACGAUGAUGGUGGGGUUGUUCCAGAGAAACUUUUGAAGGAGGCAAAAGAAAAACAACAUCUCUACAAAAAGAAAUCAAAGGAAACGUCCCUGCAGGAAACAAGAACACAUUUCAGAAACUGGAUGUGAGACUGGAGAGGAGCGAUCUGUACCCAAGGAAACAUAUAGUAUAUAGAAAUUACCUGGAAGGAGACAUUAGCAUCAGGAAAGAGGCCUUGGUCCGAAUUAUCAGGAACAACCACGACUCCUUAUUUGUCAAGGAAUUGGCAGUGGCAAUCUGGAGCACUAAAGCGCUGGGGGGGGAAAGCCUUACAGGGAAGGAGUGCCCCACCACCAAAUCCACCCGCCAGCCUUUAACCCCAAAGAAGCUGCAAACACUGAAAGUCUGCUUCAAGGAGUGGCUCCAGGAAAAAAAACUGGAGGAUACGGAGUUGCAGGCCAGAUGGGCAAAUGCUGGACGUUAUAUAACUGAAGAAAUCAUGGUCAUAAACUAACAAAAACAAAAAAUCAGUUAAUUAAUGAGUGAUUGAAAUGUUUAAUGUUUUGAUGUUGAUGUUUUAAUAGUUAAUUCUAAAUAGUUAUGUAAAUAGUUAAUUUGGUUGUUUCUCUUUUGUAAAGUGUUCCAUGUUCUUUAUUAUGUGUCUGUCAUAUUUAAUAAAUGGAAAUACUGUUUUGAAAACCUGACCAAUCAAC